rnacentral:rRNA from 1 species
UACGUAGGGUGCGAGCGUUGUCCGGAAUUAUUGGGCGUAAAGAGCUCGUAGGCGGUUUGUUGCGUCGGCCGUGAAAACCUGCAGCUUAACUGUGGGCCUGCGGCCGAUACGGGCAGACUUGAGUUCGGUAGGGGAGACUGGAAUUCCUGGUGUAGCGGUGAAAUGCGCAGAUAUCAGGAGGAACACCGGUGACGAAGGCGGGUCUCUGGGCCGAUACUGACGCUGAGGAGCGAAAGCGUGGGGAGCGAACAGG